rnacentral:rRNA from 1 species
AGCGAACGCUGGCGGUAGGCCUAACACAUGCAAGUCGAACGGCAGCACAGUAAGAGCUUGCUCUUACGGGUGGCGAGUGGCGGACGGGUGAGGAAUACAUCGGAAUCUACUUUUUCGUGGGGGAUAACGUAGGGAAACUUACGCUAAUACCGCAUACGACCUACGGGGGAAAGCAGGGGAUCUUCGGACCUUGCGCGAUUGAAUGAGCCGAUGUCGGAUUAGCUAGUUGGCGGGGUAAAGGCCCACCAAGGCGACGAUCCGUAGCUGGUCUGAGAGGAGGAUCAGCCACACUGGAACUGAGACACGGUCCAGACUCCUACGGGAGGCAGCAGUGGGGAAUAUUGGACAAUGGGCGCAAGCCUGAUCCAGCCAUACCGCGUGGGUGAAGAAGGCCUUCGGGUUGUAAAGCCCUUUUGUUGGGAAAGAAGAGCAGCAGGUUAAUACCCCGCUGUUCUGACGGUACCCAAAGAAUAAGCACCGGCUAACUUCGUG